GCCGGAGGGGGUAUAUGCAAAAGUGUGCUGGGUUGGUACACAGACAGGUCGAGCAGGGGUGAGAUGCUGAUGUAUUGAGCCGUGAGAGCUAUGAGGAAGAGCCAGGGCUCAACGGAUAAAAGCUACCCUGGGGAUAACAGGCUUAUCUCCCCCAAGAGUCCACAGCGACGGGGAGGUUUGGCACCGCGAUGUCGGCUCAUCACAUCCUGGGGCUGUAGUAGGUCCCAAGGGUUGGGCUGUUCGCCCAUUAAAGUGGUACGCGAGCUGGGUUCAGAACGUCGGGAGACAGUUCGGUCCCUAUCCGUCGCAGGCGUAGGAAAUUUGAGAAGACCUGUCCUUAGUACGAGAGGACCGGGAUGGACGUACCUCUGGUGUACCAGUUGUCCUGCCAAGGGCAUGGCUGGGUAGC
rnacentral:rRNA from 1 species